GGAGGGAGGAGUCGGAGAUGUAGACCAAGUGCAUUCUGGAUGGUGGCCCCUCAUAGCCACCCUCUCUGGUGUACUUGGAAGGCGCCUCUCUGCUGAGGAGUUGGAUGGGUGGUGUGGCCGGAUCUUGUGCUCAACUUGCCAGUUUGCCUUCAUCUUAUGUCUCCGAGAGGAACCUGUUUAUACACAGAGAUUUUCAUAAAAAAAACACCUAGGAGGAAAGGCCUCAAAAUGAUAACAUUGCUUAUUUCUGGAUGGUUCUAAGUGUGUGUGUAUUUUUUCCUUUGUAUUCUUUCACCACAAGCAUAUAUUAUGCUUAUACUAAAAACCUGGGUGCUGUUAAUGUUGAGUCUCUCCCUACUCUGGGACUUCCUAUCACUCAAGACCAAAGUUUGAAGGACAUGACCUCCAGCACCCUCCCAUGGCUUGCUUCAUGUGUGUGAUAGACCUCAGUGUUUAUAAACUAAUGAAACCAUGUGUAGAUGGGGUCAGUUGUAUGCAGUGAAGAGCCCAAGUAUCUUGACAUACAAUAGAUGUUCUAAGUUCAGAGUACUGGGGUCCCACCCAAGAUCUUACUGAACAUCUAACUUACUAACGCACCACUACCGUCUCAAUACCACCACAAACACCAUCAUCACUAUCAAUCACUUCUGCUAGCACCACUACCACUGUCUAAAUACCACCACCACCAUUCCCCCCCCAGCAUCACCACCAUCCUCCUGAGCAUCACCACCAUCCUGAGCAUCACCACCAUCCUGAGCAUCACCACCAUCCUCAGCAUCACCACCAUCCUCCUCAGCAUCACCACCAUCCUCCUGAGCAUCACCACCAUCCUCCUUAGCAUCACCACCAUCACAGUAUCUUUAACACUACCAUCACCAUUUAUUUAUUCUAGUUCCUGCACCCCACCUUCAGGAAGCUUAUUGUAUUCUAGGUAGAGUUUUAGAGCAGUAUCCUUCAAAUUAAACAGGAUGGGGGGGGGAGAGGAGAAGUUCAAUAAGGAAGUAAACAGACUUUAAUGCUCAAGAAAGAUGAAAUUGACUGGGUGGUGGGGGCACCUACCUUUAAUCCCAGCACUCAGGAGGCAGAGGCAGGCGGAUCUCUGUGAGUUUGAGGCCAGCCUGGGCUACAGAGUGAGUUCCAGGAAAGGCUGCAAAGCUACACAGAGAAACCCUGUCUCAAAAAGACGAAGAAAAAAAAAUUUACAGCCCUUCUCCAAGGUCAUGGAAGCAGUAAGUGGGGACCAGCUGCAGAGAGUUUCUUGGACCUGUUGAGCUGCCUCUAGGUUGUAAAAAAAAAUCCAGGGAUGCAGUUUUCAUGAGAGAUCUCCCAUGUUGGCGGUGGGGACUUUGGGGGUGGUGCAGCUGCUGUUGAGUCAUCCCUGCUCCUGUAAGGGACCCCUCACCCUUCCUCCUGCUAGUGACUACAAUUCAAACUCAGGUUGGGCUUCAGUGCAAUCAUUACUUUGGUCUGAAGUGGGCUCCUUUUCUGGGGUGAAUAGGCAUGUGCAUUGUAGCUUCUCCAGGAAAAGCCUUUCACACAACAGUGAGGGAGAUAGGAAACCAAGAUAAAUGACUAGAUACACAAACUACCUAGUACAGAGAUCGCUGGCCAGGGAAUGCACUGGAGUUCCAUGGUGUGUGGUUGCUGAAGGUCCACUCAGUGUUGGAGGGCUGGCAGGCCUCUCUGGGAUAUGGACAAGGAGAACGUAGGCAGUGUUCUGCUCUGGGAAGGCACACAUAGGCAAACACUGGCUACAGGCUGAAGUGGGAAGGAGGAGCCUGAGCAGAAGCAACCUGGAGGCACCAGGAGAGUUGGGGAGUAGAGCAGGAAGAUUAGAGGGAGACCGACGAGGCAGAAUGUGAUUCUUUAUUACAAACAAGAGCUCCAAUCAAUGGGACUUCGACGAUGGGGACAUGUUGGGGUCGGACUAGUCUCAGGGUCUGAUGUUUGCCUCAAGACACAUUCUGCAUUCACACAGUCAUGAAUUCUGACGAGAGGGUGGAUUAGCCUGAGAACAGAUUCCCUGAGAGAGUGAAGAGAUGGUCCCCUUCCAAAGAGCGGGAAACAUGCCACAGCCAAUGGUACACGAGAACACUGUAGCCUGGACUUGAAGAUCGGUGUCACACACCUCUGGCUGGUGGCUGGCUUGGAGAAGUCACAGAACACAGAGGUUAGAAGCCUGGGCUCUGGGGCCAGACUGCCUGCCCUCUGCAGCAGGUAGCUAGCUCUGAGCAGGUUGCCCAACCCUCCCGGCCCUUUCUUGCUGGGGUCUUGGUGUCUUAUGUUGAAGUGAGAUGAUAAUAUAAUUGCCGCAGUGUCUGGGGCUUAUGAUACAAGUCCCGUAGAUAGCAGCUGUGGGUGGGCAGAGUGAUACAGUUAAGGGCCGCAGGAGCACGGGAAUGGCCUCAGCAGCAUCUAGCCCCUCGUGGUUUUACAUGUUGUGUGGUGUGAGUCUGGCCUUUCCCACCCUGCUAACAACACUGCUGGAGACACUAUCUGUGCCUCCCCAUGCGGUCGGGGUGACUUUGGAGAGGGCUGUGGGUCCUUCUCAUCUCUCGUUGGCAGUUGAGGGGACGAAGCUCCAAGCAGGGUUCCACACCAUCCCCGUCAGUGUCGCUUUUCAGGGCCGACAGCGCAAGAUAAAACUAACAGGAAAGCAAGUUUGGUGGCUCUGGGGUUCAAACUUGGGAUACCAUGCAUGCUAGGCAAAGGGUUCUAUCACUGAGCCACACCCCCAACCCCAAGAAACUUGUGGUUGUGACUUUCACCUGCUGCCUGGCUCCGAGUAAUGCAGACCACAGGCUAGGAGGCUUAGUCAGCCAUUGUUUCUCAUGGCUCUAAGAGCUGAGUCAGAUGUGGAGGUAAAAGGUAACCAGAUUUGCCAAAACCACAACUCAGCCUUAAAGGGAGCACAUUAAGCUGCCCAGAAGGCUCUGUACAGAUAGGACAUUCAAUGUCAUAAGGACAUCUGCCACUCUGUCCCCAAAUCCUUUGAAAGGAGGUAGAAGGGAAGAGAGCCAGGGCCUGUGGAGGACCAGGCCUCCAUCAAACUGCCCAUCCGCACCUCGUCUUCCUGGUGAAAAGGUGCUCCCCCAGGUGGGCAGGAGGGAGCUCAUGUGUCGCUGGUACAGAUAGGCCACCUCUAGCCCUUCCUUGGCCUUUGACUUUCUGCAUUGUGAGUUGUUCAGGUGCAAAUGUCACCUCCUCUCUGUCACUCUCCAGCACUCUGACUUGGAAUGCACUUUCCUAACUAGAAUUCUGGCUUGUCCACCCUUAGGAAAUGGCCUUGCAUGGUGGUCAGCCAGCCAAGCUGAGGCUGCUCUGUGGCUCCUGCCUGAUCAGUGCUCAGGGCUGCCUUUCUCCAUAACACAUGAAUAUCUCAAAUGAUCCUCAAAUGAUGUCUUUUGGGGAAAAACUGCCUUUUCAUUUUGGUUUCUCAGAGAAGUCAUACAGCGUUUGGGGUUUUGCUGACUUUUUUUUCCCCCUCACCUGAAUAGUUCCCCCAAAUAACUCCACUUCUCUUACAUCACUGGAGCUGAUUGGGAAAUGUACAUGAAAUCUGAACAUGUCCCUCAUCCCUCAGGACUUUUGGGGGGAGUCACAGGAAGAUGCCUGACCAUGUGGCAAUUUAGACAGAAAAUGUUUUCUCUUGCAUUUCUGUGUGGAGGCUAAAUGAUGCGUACAGGUGUGAAAAAGAGACAUACAGGUCCCCAGCGAGGUCGGAACCCUGGCUUGGAGACAUCUCUGAGUGUAAGGAGGCUGCAGGUAUGUGAGCUCGGGGGGUGUUCCAACUGUUUGAACUUCCAGUGUUGUGUGUGUGUGUGUGUGUGUGUGUGUGUGUGUGUGUGUGUGUGUACAUGUGUGUGCUGUGCAUGUUUAUGCACGUGUGUGUGUGUCAGGUAUACGUGCAUCUAUCUGUACAUGUGUGUAGAGCCAGGGGUCGACAUCACUUGCCUUCUUCAUCUUUGUUCUUCUUAUUUUGUGAGACAGUGUCCAUCACUGAACCUGGAGAUCCAUGAUUUGGCUAAAUUAGCUGGCCGGGGAGCCCCCAGGACCCUCUUGUCUCUGUCCCCUAGUGCUGGAGUUGCAGGUGUGCACCUCUUGCACACCUGGAUUUUCGAUGGGUCUUGGGAAUUAAAAUCAGUUCCUCUUGGCAAGCACUUUGCUGACCUUAGGCCAACCAUGGUUCCUUUUUUAUUUGCUUGCUUUGUGUUGGGGAAUUAAACCCAGGACCUUGUGGAUACUAAGUCGGUGCUCUACCACAGAGCUACUCCCCAGCUCCAGCCAUUCUCAAUCCAUCAGUAGGAAUGCACACAGUAAAAUGUAUCCUCCUUAAAUAUUUGGUUACCCUGAGGUAUGCUCAGCACAGGAAAAGUGGGUAAGAUGCUGAAUUCUUUCAUUUAUUUGCAUUUCCAAUGUGAGUUAGUAGUUACUGGAAUAAAGGUGAUUAAUGAGGCUUUUAAGUUCAUUAGUAGUAUAAGCUGAGGGACAUAUGUUUUAAUGGGCUGUAUCUAUGACUCAGGGAUGUGGGCAUCAUCCAUCUUUGUCAAUUGAGACGCUGUCCUAUUGGCUCUUGAGAUUUUUGGUACAGUCUGGCAGUUUGAGAGCAUCUUUGUUUGAUGGUAUGUCCCUCCUGGGAAUUUUCAGAGUACACAUCCCUAUCCUUACAGUCUUAUUUUAUAUUUUCUGUGCCGGUAGGAGAUAUAUAUCAUAUCAUAUCACAUCAUUUAUCAUAUCGUAUCUACCUAUCUAUCAAUCAUCUAUCUAUCUAUCUAUCUAUCUAUCUAUCUAUCUAUCUAUCUAUCUAUCUAUGAUAGUCAUUACUAGGAGUAGCCAGAAGUUGAGAGACUAGUCAUCAGUUUAUUUAACAAGUACUUGUUGAGACUCUAGCGUGUUUAGAUUCUAUGACUAUGAGGAGCUGCAUCAGUCACCUGGGGGUGCGGAGUGCCCCAGCUGUGGGACAGAAUGAAGGCCCCGGUCGAGUGGAGCAUCAAGGAUUGGCAGAGAGACGGGAAGGAGUCCAGGAGGAGGUGACACUAGAAGUUCAAACAGGGACGCAGACACACUAUAGUAGUGGGGAAAGCCUCCCUUCACCAGACACACUGUAGUGGGGAAGCCUCCCUUCACCAGACACACUGUAGUGGGGAAGCCUCCCUUCACCCUGAGUUUUAUCUGAUGCUUUUAUCUGAUGCUUUUAUCUGAGUUUUAUCUGAUGUUUCAUUCAGCAAAUGAAACAAAACGACGUGCUAAGCAAAUGCUCCUCUACAGAGCCACUCCCACCCAAGGACGUCCUUUCCCAGAAUGAGUCAAGUCUGUCUCCUGAGGUGUCACCCUCGGUUCUGAUAUCUCUCAAGUCUUCUUUUUGGUCCUCCGCAGCAUUUCUCAAGUAGCAAUAGAGUUUAAAACUAUCCCUCUAAAGGGGAAAAAAAAAUACCUCAAAUACAGACAGAUCCGGGCAGUGUGGUAAGAGGGGCCCAGUGACAGGAGAGGUCUGUCAGUGGCACACAUACCCUCAAGUCAGCCUCAAAUUCUGUAGUCAUUCAAAGGAAAGACAAUAUUACAAACAACAUACCUAGGCUAAUUAAAUGCAACAUUUUUGGGGAAAUAAGUUCAUAGAAAAUAUACUUCUUAACAUUCAUUCUAGAAGACAAAAUUUUAAAAACCUUGGUAUGAUUCUUAAACAAAACGAGGAGUCAUGGCCGAGUGCGGUGGUGCAUCCUGUAAUCCCAGUAGUGGGAGACAGAAGCAAGAAGAGCAAGACUUUAGGGCUAACCUGGGCUAUGCAAGACUGUGUUUCAAAAGACACACACACACACACACACACACACACACACACGCGCGCACAUGCGCGCACCAAACAACUAUGACAAAGCUGAACGUCAAAUCCUUCCCCAAAGAGAAACACCAGGCCCAGGAGGUUUCUCUAGGGCACUGUGUGUUAACCUUCCUGAAAUGCUUAAAUUCAAUCGUGUUAACUAUUCUGGGGUAAAUUUAUAAGAGUUCAUAACAUUCAUCCCCAAAUCCAAUCAUAAACAAAAAUCAGCAUAAAAAGAAAUGGGAAAACACAAUUUUCUGUCAAUUCCAGCACAAAAAUAUCGGCAAGUCCCGCCCCGCCCCCAGGGCUUUGUGAGACGGAAGCUCCCUGUCAUCAAGCUGUCAUUAUGCCAUAGCUGCAAGACCGGUUGACAUGUACCCCAGCAAACGAAAAGACAGUAAAUUAAAAAGGACAUCAAGUAUCAUAUUAUUUAUAUAUGGAUUACAUACUAAACUAAUAGUUUAAAACAUUGGGCUAAAUCAAAUGUGUAAUUCUUUCUAAAGAGAAUCUUGUCCUCUAAAACUGGCCUGAAGGCACCACCCACCAGCCAGUGGGCUCCCAAUCCUCAGGCCAACCCUGUGUCGGCCACACCUCUCUGUUAUUGUGACGACAGUCUCUCAUGUCAGAGAAUGAGAGAAGAAAUGUACAAACCAAGGGUUAUGAAGCUACCUUGAGGGGGAAUUCAACCCACCUGGACAUUUGUUGACAAUACAGAUUUUUCAUUCCCAGACUCCUCAGGGGUCCUCGGAUCCUCUAAAUCAUCCUCUGCAGGGGCAGGCCCAGGAAUGUCAGCUAAGGCCCGUGCGCAGCUGCAAUUGCAUGGUCAAACCAACAACUCUGGAAAUCUAUGGAGAACAAGUUAUUCCUAUCUCCUGGCUGCCCACGUGAUCUGAGAUGACACUGACUUAGGAAGGCCUACCUCCCUUCCUCCCUUCUUUCCUUCUGGGGGUGCGAACCCAGGGCCUUGUGCAUAUUAGGCAAGUGCCCUUCUACAGAGUCACACCUGGUGUUCGGAAGUCCUUUCUCAGACUGACUCAGGUCUGUCUCCUGAAGUCUCACACUGGAUUCCAAGUGUCCCUUCUGUGAUGUCUGUCACACCUUCUCUGGUCCUUGACAGCGUUUCUUAAGUAACAAAUCUCAGAGCUCUGCUGUGUGGUUUUUGUCACGGGCUGUGCUUUUGAGGGAGUGGCGUUUCCUGUGAGGAGGACACAGGGACAGCGGACUGACGGCAGUGAACGAUGCCCCUUUAGAAAUGUCUUGUAUCAAGUUCAACUAGGAAAAGAUGCAGCCUGCUCGAGUCAAGUCAGAGAUUCAUACUCACAGACGUAGAGACCUGGAAUUCUAACACGUCGAAGGGGGGAAAGUAAAGGCUUUUUAGUGAUCACUGUGGGAUCUGGAAGCCAGAGCUCUUGCAUCUGACUGAGAAAAUGAUUUGAACAGAAAGUUCAUCUUUCACAGGAGAAGCUUCUGUUUGACAUGAGUUAAUCUUUGAAAACGGAACCAAUAAUUAACAUGACACUAGGAACUGAGAAAACUUUCUAUGGUGAUGUGGGAACGCACAAGCCACCUGAACUGGGCAGCUUGCCAAGUGUCAGGGCCACCGUCAUUAUGCUUAAGAUAACAACACUCCUUUGAAGAUGCUUAGUCCCCUCAAAUACUCUCUACAGCUGAGUGACCUGUACCUCGAUGGCACUUUGGGCAGGUACUUAACCCUUUCAGACAGAUGGAUUUAAUUCAUUUAAUUCAGCUCCUCCAGUUCUUUAUAUGUUCUGCAGUUCUUUAUAUGUCUGCAAAUUCAUCACCCCUCUCUCUGAAGUAGUUGGAUUAAUGGAACUGUGUUUUCCCAUUUACAGUCCACUAAUGGUGCAAGCUAGCGGCUGGAAUGUAUAUAUAACAUUUUGAUAGUACAAAACAAAUUUGGACAUUCAAACUAUAAAAAGAGGGUCUAAGAUCAUGUUAGCAAACAUUUUUUAGUUAACUCUGAUAACGCUGGGCAUGAUGGGGUAUGACUUUAGUCCCAGGCCCUAGGACUCGGUGGCAGGCAGAGCUCUGUGAGUUUGAGACUAACCAGAGCAACAUAGUCCUUGUCUCAAACAAACAAACAAAAUGGAAAACCAACCAAACAACAACGGCAAACCUUGGUUAGCUUUGGCCCUCAACACAGCUUCUCUUCAUGCCUACUUACAGUAGGCUAUAUAGAAAGCAUGUGCUGCAGGUUGAAUAAGACAUUUCCUUCAUAGACUCACAUAUCAGGGGCACAGUUAUCAGCUAAGUGACACCAUUUGGAGAGUUCUGGAAAUGUUGUGUGUGUGUGGGGGGGGAGGGCUAGCUAGAGGAGAUAGGUCAUCAGGAGCUGGUCUUUGGGAGUACCUUGUCCCAGUGUACUUAUCUCUCUGUCUCUGUCACCGAGAAGUGAACCACCUCUGCCACACAUUUCUGCCACCAUGCCUAGGGGCCAAGCAGCCAUGGGCUGACCUCUCUGAAACCGUGAGCCAGAAUAAAAAAAAUUCCUUCUUUUAAAUGGUCCUGCUGGAUAUUUUGGUCACAGCCACAAUACAACUAGUGUAUGUUGGUAACUUUUCUACUGCCCGCUAAAGCAGUGUGACCAAGGCAACUUAUAAAGAAAGCGUUUAGUUGGGCUGACAGUUCCAGAGGGUCAGAGUUCAUGACGGCAGAGUGAAAGCGUGGUAGCAAGAACAGCCGAGGGCUUACAGCCUGAAUCACAGGGAGGAGGCAGAGAGAGUAAACAGAGAAUGACUUAAUUCUUAAAACCCCAGGGACCUCCUCCAACAAGGCCACACCCCCCAAUCCUUCCCCAAAAUUCCACCAACUGGGGACCAAGUAUUCAAACAUAUGAGCCUAUGGGGGCCGAUCUCCUUUAAACUACCACGCUUCCUUUACAAAUAACAUCAGAAUUGCUACAGUGACUCUGAUCGUUGGCAGAUCUCAUUGCCUUCUAUACUACAGUAACCAUUUGCCCUCACCCCUUUGUCAGAUGCAAAUUAUAGAUUAUUGGAGUCAGAAGAGACAUCAAAGGUCAGAAUUCUGGGUCCAGUGCUUUACAGUUUUAUCAUCUAGCAUCUACUUGGUCUUCACCUUCAUAGUAGAUGGAGCUAAGAUGUGGUUCGCGGGGCUGGUGGUGCGGUGGAGUCCUAAUCUCUGGUUUCUUUGCCCCAUCUUGUACAGUUUUCAUUGCCAUAACAAAAUGCCUGCAACCGACACUUACAAAGAAAAGAGGUUGGUUUAUCUAGCUCUCGUGUUUGGAGGCUUGAGAGCAAGGACUGGCUUCUCCUCAGCUGGGGGAGGGCUUUAUAGAGGAUAGUGGAGGGGGAGGGGCUGCAGAGCAGGCUCUUACUCUUUUUAUUUUUUUUUUUCUUUUUUUGGUUUUUCGAGACAGGGUUUCUCUGUGUAGUUUUGGAGCCUGUCCUGGAACUCACUCUGUACCCCAAGCUGGCCUUGAACUCACAGAGAUCCUCCUGCCUCUGCCUCCCAAGUGCUGGGAUUAAAGGCAUGCGCCACCACAGCCUGGCUGCUCUUGCUCUUUUAUAUCAACCCCUUUGAGAACUAACCAGGUCCCAUGAGAGAUAUCUCAUUUUUUUUUCCCAAACAGAAAGUCCUCCAGGCCAAUUUACAGACCCUGUCUCUUGAAGGUUCCUCCACCCCGAUCAUCACCACAUGGAACACCAAACUUCUCACACAUGAACUUUUGGGGAGACACACUCAAGCCAUACCUAAAUCAUAGCACCCCCAGUAAUGCUGCUGCUGCUGCUGAUAAUGGUAGCUACCAUUUUACUGAGCAUAUACUACUGCAACCCAAAACCAUUCUAGGGAUUUUUGUGUACAUUAUCUUUGAUACACAAAAAGGGAGCAGGUGCUUACAAUAUAAAACCCAGAAUUCAGGUCUUCCAAGUCAGCUCUGUCCCCUCCAUUGCCUCCUAAAUUUCCCUUCACUUUAAAGAAUAACAUAAAUAUGUUUCUGUCAUGAAUAAGCAGGCUGAAAAGGGAAGAGCUAAGAGCAAAGAACUCAAAAGAGAAGCCCAACACUCCCAAGCGGUCCUCCCUUUACAGAUGAAUUGACUAAAUGGACUUCUUUUCAUGAUCUCAGGUCUGCACCUCUGCAGGUGGACUCUUCUCCAGGAGGAGAGAAUGUCACCACCCAGUAGGCAGGGAUAUCUGCUGGGAAAUCGGCAUCUCUCUUACUGUCGUGCAACAGUUUUACUUGGGAUCCUAAAAUCAAGUCUCAGCAAGAAAGAGACAGCGAGUAGGAGAAAGACUGGAAGAAGAUGCCCCAGAAUUACUUACUAACUUACUUUAUUUACUUAUUUUUGUGGUGCUGGAGAUUGAACCCAAGGAAACGGUGUACACCAGACAAGCAUUUCACCACCGAACUGCCUCUUCAAUCCCCAAAGCUUUUAGAAACAGCUUUAUUGAGACAGGAUAUCUCUCUGGACCUGGAGCUCAUCUUCAGACUGACAGCUGUUGACGUGAAAUGUAUCGAGGUUAGUGCCUGUCUAUCAGAAGCUGUGCGGUCGCAUUGCACAAACAUGCCUGUCUUGGAACCAGGGAUGUUGGCUGUUGGAGCUGAGUCACGCUCGGGUCCUGCCCAGGGUUGCUGUUGCUGUGACAAAACACCAUAACCAAAAGCAGCUUGGGGAAGAAAUGACUUAUUUGGCUUACAUAUUCUGAGUCACACUCCAUUGAAGAAAGUCAACACAGAAACUCAAACCGGAUGGAAGCCUGGAAGCAGGAGCUGAUGCAGAGGCCAUGCAUGGAGAGGUUCCUAAGACCACAGCGCUUCAAGCCAUCUAGAACUACCCUGGCCGGUAAUAACAUCUGGAGUUGGGACCAGAGGUGCUAAAAGUUGACCUUUCCUCAUUUUAUUGCUCAAGUCUUCUCAGGAAGCAACUGGUGCCUGUCGUCCAUAGCAUGAGAUGUGUGUGAAAACACAUUGUCAAAUACACUUACGCCUUUACCCCCUGGCUAAUCCAUUCUAUGUUCAGAUGAAUUUACCUGCCUUAGGAAACUCUUCGAGCUCUGGAAGAGACUCCACAUGUCUCCUUAUUCCUUGUAAUCCUUCACUUCAUGUAACUGUUCUUGUUAUAUGUUCCAAUAUGAUCCCCACCAAGAGGCAGAUCCCCUGAUCCUGGUAACAGGAAGUGAGGAUUUGGGUCUUUUAUUUAAAUUUGGUGUUUACUGCUUAUACAUUUUUCACAAAUGAGGAGCAUCUGUAUGUCUUUGCUGUCCUGAGGAUUGAACUUAGAGCCUCACACAUGCUAGGCCAGAACCCUGACACUGAGCAACACCCCCAGCCCUCCACCUCUAUGUGCCUUUAACAUUCUUGACUUGCUGUCUUGUUGAGGACACAAAAUUUUCCUUAGAAAUAGUGUCAUUAACACAGACUACCCUAAUGUCAAAGGUCUAGUUGUCACAACAAAAUCCCUCCCAAAAACCUGCUAUUCCAUAGACACCUCAUUGGUUUCUUUAAUGAUAAAAUCAAAAGACAUCAACAGCUCCAAGACAGGAUGUGAAUUGAGGGUAUUACCAGAACUAUUGACAGUGCUUUGUGAUUAUUCUAAUGGAUUUCUCAUUUAGUGAAUUAACUAUUGUUUAGAAAUCCUUGCCGGGCGGUGGUGGCGCACACCUUUAAUCCCAGCACUCGGGAGGCAGAGCCAGGCGGAUCUCUGUGAGUUCGAGGCCAGCCUGGUCUACAGAGUGAGAUCCAGGAAAGGCGCAAAGCUACACAGAGAAACCCUGU